rnacentral:rRNA from 1 species
GACGAACCGUCCAAACGUUAUUCGGAAUCACUGGGCUUAAAGGGUGCGUAGGCGGCGCGGCAAGUUGGGUGUGAAAUCCCUCGGCCCAACCGAGGAACUGCGCCCAAAACUGCCGUGCUCGAGGGAGAUAGAGGUGAGCGGAACUUAGGGUGGAGCGGUGAAAUGCGUUGAUAUCCUAAGGAACACCGGUGGCGAAAGCGGCUCACUGGAUCUCUUCUGACGCUGAGGCACGAAAGCUAGGGUAGCGAACGGG